rnacentral:rRNA from 1 species
UACGUAGGCAGCAAGCGUUGUUCGGAGUUACUGGGCGUAAAGGGUGCGUAGGCGGUUGUUUAAGUUUGGUGUGAAAUCUCCCGGCUCAACUGGGAGGGUGCGCCGAAUACUGAAUGACUAGAGUGCGGGAGAGGAGAGUGGAAUUCCUGGUGUAGCGGUGAAAUGCGUAGAUAUUCGGGAGGAACACCGGUGGCGAGCGGAUCGUCGCUGGGACCUUGACCUGUCAUCUGAGGCGAGGCGAAGAAG